CGCUCACUUUGAAGAGGAGGAGGCUCGAGAUGACGGCUUCGAACUCUUCCAGAUGUAGAGGUGCGAAAGUGAAAGUUUUGGAAGAAGAUCUCAGAAACCUACAGAGCAGAAGCCAUAGGGAUAUGUUUUACAGGACAAUUAUACAAAAUUUGACUGUCAUUGUAUGUAAUAUACUAUAGAUAUAUUAUCAAACUGUUACUUUUAGAACAGGGGCACUGAAAUUUGAGUUGACUGUAAUUUGUGUGUUUAAAAAUAAGGACAUUUUAAGGUGAAAAUACAGCAAGUAGGUUGUAUAAAAGCAGAGAUCAGGAGGCCAACUUGAACAUGACUCCAUAAAACCAAGUGCACUAAACCUGGUCCUCAUGCUUUGUUUUUAGUACGUUUUUUUUCCGGUCAAGAAUAUUUUUGAAAA